UCCGAAUUGGUGUAGUGGCUAACAUUUGACGCUCUCAUGAUCUAAACAUCAUAAGGAUCCGUCAAGCCCGGGGUUCGAUUCCCCGAUUCGGAG
rnacentral:tRNA from 1 species